rnacentral:rRNA from 1 species
AGUGAACGCUGGCGGUAGGCCUAACACAUGCAAGUCGAACGGCAGCACAGUAAGAGCUUGCUCUUACGGGUGGCGAGUGGCGGACGGGUGAGGAAUACAUCGGAAUCUACUUUUUCGUGGGGGAUAACGUAGGGAAACUUACGCUAAUACCGCAUACGACCUACGGGUGAAAGCAGGGGAUCUUCGGACCUUGUGCGAUUGAAUGAGCCGAUGUCGGAUUAGCUAGUUGGCGGGGUAAAUGCCCACCAAGGCGACGAUCCGUAGCUGGUCUGAGAGGAUGAUCAGCCACACUGGAACUGAGACACGGUCCAGACUCCUAAGGGAGGCAGCAGUGGGGAAUAUUGGACAAAGGGCGCAAGCAUGAUCCAGCCAUACCGCGUGGGUGAAGAAGGCCUUCGGGUUGUAAAGCCCUUUUGUUGGGAAAGAAAAGCAGCAGGUUAAUACCCCGCUGUUCUGACGGUACCCAAAGAAUAAGCACCGGCUAACUUCGUG